rnacentral:rRNA from 1 species
AGCAGCCGCGGUAAUUCCAGCUCCAAUAGCGUAUAUUAAAGUUGUUGCAGUUAAAAAGCUCGUAGUUGAAUUUCGGGGUUCAUACGUUGGUCGGGCUUUUGGGUCUGUACUGGCGUAAUGGAUUCCUACCUUCUGAAUAACCGGCAUGCCAUUAACUUGGUGCGCCGGGGAAGCAGGACUGUUACCUUGAAAAAUUAGAGUGCUUAAAGCAGGCUAUCGCCUGAAUACAUUAGCAUGGAAUAAUGAAAUAGGACGGCAUGGUUCUAUUUUAUUGGUUUCUAGGAUCACCGUAAUGAUUAAUAGGGAUAGUUGGGGGCAUUAGUAUUCAAUUGUCAGAGGUGAAAUUCUUGGAUUUAUUGAAGACUAACUUCUGCGAAAGCAUUUGCCAAGGAUGUUUUCAUUAAUCAAGAACGAAAGUUAGGGGAUCGAAGACGAUCAGAUACCGUCGUAGUCUUAACCAUAAACUAUGCCGACUAGGGAUCGGACGAU